rnacentral:lncRNA from 1 species
GGCAGCUGUGCAGAAAGCAGUGGCUUUGGGGUUAAGCAGACCUGAGAUCGAGUCCUAGCACCACCACUUUCUAGCUCUCUGAGCCUCACCUACCUCUUCUCUGAAAUGAUGACAAAAGGGCAGUUGUGAGGAUUCAAUUAGUUAAUUGUAGCGUUAAUGAGUCAUGUGUAUAAAGUGCCUGGUAGCUAUUUAUUCAUUCAUGGAUUCAUCCAUUCAAUAAAAAAUUAUUAAGCACCCACCACAUAGAGGGCAGCCUGACAGUGGCGUAGCUACAAUAGCAAGCAAAACAGACUCAGACCCUCAUGGAACUUAAAGUCUGGGAAGGAAGAAAGUUGUUAACCAAGUGAUCAGACAAAUCAAAAACAGAAACUGAGAUAAGGAAGCAGAAGAAAAAUAUUCCUGUACACGCACCCAGAGGCUUUUGCAGGAGGCGGCUGUUGGAGAACUGGGAAAACAAGCCAAGAAACAAGAGAGAGGAAAAAGACCACGCCUCGCCUGGCAGAUUCCUAAUGGCCCAGGAGACCUGAGGCUUUACAGUGGGAGGCCGGUGGGGGCUGGCUCGGGUGGGAGGGAAGGGCAGGCCGAAGGACAGCCACUUGCUGGCUGGUGACCUUGGGCGGGAUACUGCCUGCUUCCCUCUGGUGAGAAUGGGGAGGAGGGAGGCAGGGGCAGGCCUGGCCGGCUGAGGUCACAGGAAGGCCCCUUCCAGCCUGAAACGCGAUCUCGGGAUGUGGGGCCUGCCAACCUGCAGCGACCCUGGGCCAGCAGAGAUGAAAGGCUGCCUGUCCCCAGCUUCCGGACCCCCAAGGCCCCACUGCCUCAAAGUUGGAGAGCAGCAGAGCUGUGUUGCCACUGGCUGGGGCCAGCUGCUGGGCUCCCCACCCCACCUUAUGUCAUCCAACCCUCCCUUCCCUGUUUUGCAGAGGACACUCAGGCCCAGAGAGGGUGGUGACCUGCCUGAGGUCACACAGCAAGCGGGAGUCUGAGCCAAGGCUCACCACAGUCUUUGGACUCCAAGUCCAGGCCUCCUGCCUUUCCCAGAAACUUGGCUGCCUGGGGGCUUACCCUGGGGAGUUGGAGAGAACUAGGGCUGGGGAGGACACUUAGGAGCUGUGUCUGUUUGAAGUCACAACUUAAUGUUGACUAAAGUGCUUUUUUUUUAAAAGACAAAAAGAAAAUUCCCAGCCCCUGCCAUAAGCCUGGACUUGCUCACUGGCAGGGGAAGGAAUGCAGCUCUGGCCACCACAGCUGCUGGUGGCCAGCUGCAGCCUCAGCUUCUGCUGCUCCCGCCCCAGCCGGCAAAGGGACAAAGGCCUCUUCUCAGGCCUGUCCUCUCCAGCCCCCUGGAUCAGCUGGCAGAACAUUGACGGAGCCUCCUCUGUCACAGACCUGCUAAGUCAUUGUUCCUCUCUGGGCCUUAGUGCCGUUUCUGUAAAAUGGGGGCAUAGUAUCUGCCUGACCUACUUCUCAGCACUGUUUUGAGGCUCCAAGUAAAGUUCUGGAAAUACAAAGCUCUCAGCGCCUCCUUCCACCUGCGGGUCUGCCUUCUCACUGUGCCCUUUGCCUCGACCACCCCUCCCUCCCUCAUGCUUUCCCUGGCCAGCCCCAACUCACUCAGCUCAGCUCAGUGGGACCAUCACCUGCUCUAAAACCUGCCCU